AUACCCUUUAAGUUAGUCCCGUGAGGCUAAGAAGGAAUGGUGAGUUGCAAACACAGUGCGCUGUGUGGCCCAACCCAAACAGACAGUGUACCCAGACUAGGUGUCAUGGGCACUGCUUUACUCGGAAACCAAACCUCUUGUCCCUUGGGCAAGAGGUUUUUUUGU
rfam:Enterococcus asini ATCC 700915 genomic scaffold acvKe-supercont1.3, whole genome shotgun sequence.